rfam:Vagococcus penaei strain CD276, complete genome.
CCACAGCUACAACCGCUCGAAUUAAGUUAUUAAGUACGUUAUGUCGCUUAUGCCGGCGAGUCUAAGUAAAGAA